ACACAUGCAAGUCGAGCGCGAAGCCUCCCUUCGGGGAGGUGGAGAGCGGCGAACGGGUGAGUAACGCGUGGGGAGCUGCCCUUCGGUGGGGGACAACCUCGGGAAACCGGGGCUAAUACCGCAUACGCCGGGUAACCGGGAAAGAUUUAUCGCCGAAGGAGGCACCCGCGUCCGAUUAGGUAGUUGGUGGGGUAACGGCCUACCAAGCCUUCGAUCGGUAGCUGGUCUGAGAGGACGAUCAGCCACACUGGGACUGAGACACGGCCCAGACUCCUACGGGAGGCAGCAGUGGGGAAUCUUGGACAAUGGGCGCAAGCCUGAUCCAGCCAUGCCGCGUGAGUGAAGAAGGCCUUCGGGUUGUAAACCUCUUUCACCGGUGAAGAUAAUGACGGUAGCCGGAGAAGAAGCCCCGGCUAACUCCGUGCCAGCAGCCGCGGUAAUACGGA
rnacentral:rRNA from 1 species